rnacentral:rRNA from 1 species
CCUACGGGGGGCUGCAGUGGGGAAUAUUGGACAAUGGGGGCAACCCUGAUCCAGCCAUGCCGCGUGAGUGAUGAAGGCCCUAGGGUUGUAAAGCUCUUUUGUGCGGGAAGAUAAUGACGGUACCGCAAGAAUAAGCCCCGGCUAACUUCGUGCCAGCAGCCGCGGUAAUACGAAGGGGGCUAGCGUUGCUCGGAAUCACUGGGCGUAAAGGGUGCGUAGGCGGGUUUCUAAGUCAGAGGUGAAAGCCUGGAGCUCAACUCCAGAACUGCCUUUGA